rnacentral:rRNA from 1 species
UGAAUACGAGAUGCUACGGCGUCGAAGCAGUGUAUGUCAGACUUCCAAGAAAAGCUCGCAAUGUCAUAAAUAAAGAAUGCCUGUACCAUAACCGACACAGGUGGGUAGGUAGAGUAUACUAAGGGGCGCGAGAUAACUCUCUCUAAGGAACUCGGCAAAAUAACUCCGUAACUUCGGGAGAAGGAGUGCCUUCUUUAAGAAGGUUGCAAUAACAAGAUCCAAGCAACUGUUUAUCAAAAACACAGGUCUCCGCUAAGUCGUAAGACGAUGUAUGGGGGCUGACGCCUGCCCAGUGCCAGAAGGUUAAAGAAGUUGGUUAGCUUUUGCGAAGCUGAUGACUGAAGCCCUGGUGAACGGCGGCCGUAACUAUAACGGUCCUAAGGUAGCGAAAUUCCUUGUCGGGUAAGUUCCGACCCGCACGAAAGGCGUAAUGAUUUGGAUACUGUCUCGGAGAGGGACUCGGUGAAAUAGACUUGUCUGUGAAGAUGCGGACUACCUGCACCAGGACAGAAAGACCCUAUGAAGCUUUACUGUAACUUGAAAUUGAAAUUGGACUUUAUUUGCGCAGUAUAGGUGGAAGGCGUUGAAAGUAAUCUUGCGGGAUUAGUGGAGCCAUCAGUGAGAUACCACUCCUAUAAUGUUAGAUUUCUAACUUUGGAUCAUGAUCUGGUCAAAGAACAGUUUCAGGCGGGCAGUUUGACUGGGGCGGUCGCCUCCCAAAUGGUAACGGAGGCGUACAAAGGUUUCCUCUGAACGGGUAGAAAUCGUAUCUAGAGUGUAAAGGCAUAAGGAAGCUUGACUGUGAGACCUACAAGUCGAGCAGGGACGAAAGUCGGUCUUAGUGAUCUGACGGUGCUGAGUGGAAAGGCCGUCACUCAACGGAUAAAAGUUACUCUAGGAUAACAGGCUGAUCUCCCCCAAGAGUUCACAUCGACGGGGAGGUUUGGCACCUCGAUGUCGGCUCAUCGCAUCCUGGGGCGGUAGUACGUCCCAAGGGUUGGGCUGUUCGCCCAUGAAAGCGGUACGCGAGCUGGGUUCAGAACGUCGUGAGACAGUUCGGUCCAUAUCCGGUGUAGGCGUUAGAAUAUUGAGAGGAGCCUUCUUUAGUACGAGAGGACCGAGAAGGACAUACCUCUGGUGUACCAGUUAUCGUGCCAACGGUAAACGCUGGGUAGCUAUGUAUGGAGAGGAUAACCGCUGAAAGCAUCUAAGUGGGAAGCCCACCUCAAGAUGAGUAUUCUCA